UGCCUACGGGGGGCAGCAGUGAGGAAUAUUGGGCAAUGCCCGAAAGGGUGACCCAGCAACGCCGCGUGGAGGAUGAAGGCCGUAAGGUUGUAAACUCCUGUUAGAGGGGAAGAAAAAUCCCGAUAGAAUCGGGAACUGACUGUACCCUCAGAGGAAGCCCCGGCUAACUACGUGCCAGCAGCCGCGGUAAUACGUAGGGGGCAAGCGUUGUCCGGAUUCACUGGGUGUAAAGGGCGCGUAGGCGGGUUAGCAAGUCAGAGGUGAAAUCUCCCGGCUCAACCGGGAAACUGCCUUUGAAACUGUUAAUCUUGAGUGCGGAAGAGAGAGACGGAAUUCCAGGUGUAGCGGUGAAAUGCGUAGAUAUCUGGAGGAACACCGGUUGCGAAGGCGGUCUCUUGGUCCGUAACUGACGCUCAGGCGCGAAAGCGUGGGUAGCAAACAGGAUUAGAUACCCUGGUAGUC
rnacentral:rRNA from 1 species